AGCCAUUGUGUCUGUUGAUGGACACAGGAGAAUAAAGACUAGGCGAGUGCUGCGCUGGUCGGCUGGUUUCAGAAGGGCCAGAAAUUCAAGUUCUGGAAACGUUAACUAAACUCAAGCCUCUGAGCAUGCGCGCUGGGCUCUCCAGCAGAGUCUUGGGAUUCUGGCCGGAAGCAGCACAUAGGUGCCUCGUUAGCGCAGUAGGUAGCGCGUCAGUCUCAUAAUCUGAAGGUCGUGAGUUCGAUCCUCACACGGGGCACAAUACUUUUGGCCGCUCCGGGUCUAAUUUCUUGCCAGAAGGAAAUUUUACUCUUUCUCCUGGAAUGUCUUGCGUUGGCGAGGUGUGGAAUGGCUGCCGUGUUCUAAGCGGACCUGGACCUUGAAAACAAUCUGAGACAAAACAAUAACCAAGGAGCCCUAACUGAUUGCCUGACUGAACCUUGCUGUCCACCGCUGACCUGGGAAUUGAAAAGCCCGUUGGGUCCCUGCUACCACAGACUGCAGUCGUAGGCGUGGCAUUUCUUAUUGUCUGCCAUCAGAGCCACAAUGGACAUCCUCAGCUUUGCAGACAUUUCGCCUUUGCGAUGUCUUACUGGAGUCUGGUUUUUGGACUCCAAGCCUGGACUUGGGAGGUGUGUGUGGGGUCAUGUCAUAAAUCUUGGUUUCUGUUCCUGGCUUCCUAAGCUUUGAAGACCUUUAUCCACACUAAGGAUUCCUAAG
rnacentral:lncRNA from 1 species